rnacentral:misc_RNA from 1 species
AAGAGACGUUGCCCUUCGGGGUAUACCUCCCACCCUUUGUUUAUUAUACCUUUGUUGCUUUGGCGGGCCCGUCCUCGGACCACCGGCUUCUGCUGGUCGGUGCCCGCCAGAGGACCUAAAACUCUGUUUGUUAAUAUUGUCUGAGUACUAUAUAAUAGUUA